AAUAUUGGACAAUGGGCGAAAGCCCGAUCCAGCCAUGCCGCGUGGGUGAAGAAGGUCUUCGGGUUGUAAAGCUUGUUAAGUUGGGAGGAAGGGCAGUAAGAUAUUACCUUGCUGUUUUGUCGUUACCGACAGAAGAAGCACCUGCCAACUUCGUGCCAGCCGCCGCGUUAAUACGAAGGGGGCAAGCGUUAAUCGGAAUUACUGGGCGUAAAGAACGCGUAGGUGGUUUGUUAAGUUGGAAGUGAAAGCCCCGGGCUCAACCUGGGAACUGCUUUCAACACGAGCAAGCUAGAGUAUGGCAGAGGGUGGUGGAAUUUCCUGUGUAGCGGUGAAAUGCAUAGAUAUAGGAAAGAACACCAGUGGAGAAGGCGACCACCUGGGCUAAUACUGACACUGAGGUGCGAAAGCGUGGGGAGCAAAC
rnacentral:rRNA from 1 species